rnacentral:rRNA from 1 species
GAACGUUGGCGGCGUGGAUUAGGCAUGCAAGUCGAGCGAGAAGUUUACUUCGGUAAAUGGACAGCGGCGAAAGGGACAGUAAUGUGUAGGUACCUACCCUCUGAUCUGGGAUAGCUGCGGGAAACUGCAGGUAAUACCGGAUAAUGUCUUCGGACCAAAGGUGUGAUUCCGUCUGAGGAGGGGCCUGCAUCCUAUUAGCUUGUUGGUGAGGUAAUGGCUCACCAAGGCAACGAUGGGUAGCGGGUGUGAGAGCAUGACCCGCGUCAUUGGGACUGAGACACUGCCCAGACAUCUACGGAUGGCUGCAGUCGAGAAUCUUCGGCAAUGGGCGAAAGCCUGACCGAGCGACGCCGCGUGCGGGAUGAAGGCCCUCGGGUUGUAAACCGCUGUCGUUGGGGAGGAAAUGCAAGAGGGCUAUCCCUUUUGUUUGACCGAUCCAAGGAGGAAGUACGGGCUAAGUUCGUGCCAGCAGCCGCGGUAAGACGAACCGUACGAACGUUAUUCGGAAUUACUGGGCUUAAAGGGUGCGUAGGCUGCACGGAAAGUUGGGUGUGAAAGCCCUCAGCUCAACUGAGGAAUUGCAUCCAAAACUGCCGUGCUUGAGGGAGACAGAGGUGAGCGGAACUCAAGGUGGAGCGGUGAAAUGCGUUGAUAUCUUGAGGAACACCGGUGGCGAAGGCGGCUCACUGGGUCUCUUCUGACGCUGAGGCACGAAAGCUAAGGUAGCAAACGGGAUUAGAUACCCCGGUAGU